rnacentral:rRNA from 1 species
CCCUUAGAUGUUCUGGGCCGCACGCGCGCUACACUGACGAAUGCAACGAGCUUAUAACCUUGGCCGAAAGGUCUGGGUAAUCUCCAAAUUUCGUCGUGAUGGGGAUAGAUUAUUGCAAUUAUUAAUCUUCAACGAGGAAUGCCUAGUAAGCGCAAGUCAUCAGCUUGCGUUGAUUACGUCCCUGCCCUUUGUACACACCGCCCGUCGCUCCUACCGAUUGAAUGGUCCGGUGAAGCGUUCGGACCGUGGCCUUUGGACGGUUCGCCGUCUGUUGGCUGCGGGAAGUUCGUUAAACCUUAUCAUUUAGAGGGAGGAGAANUCGUAACA